rnacentral:sRNA from 1 species
GAGCGCGAGCAGUAGCUGGGUGGGCACCAUGGCUGGGAUCACCACCAUCGAGGCGGUGAAGCGCAAGAUCCAGGUUCUGCAGCAGCAGGCAGAUGAUGCAGAGGAGCGAGCUGAGCGCCUCCAGCGAGAAGUUGAGGGAGAAAGGCGGGCCCGGGAACAGAGGUAUGAAGGUUAUUGAAAACCGGGCCUUAAAAGAUGAAGAAAAGAUGGAACUCCAGGAAAUCCAGCUCAAAGAAGCUAAGCACAUUGCAGAAGAGGCAGAUAGGAAGUAUGAAGAGGUGGCUCGUAAGUUGGUGAUCAUUGAAGGAGACUUGGAACGCACAGAGGAACGAGCUGAGCUGGCAGAGUCGUGAGUAUCUAGCUCCCCAAAUCUUCUCAUUACCAAUUUGUCCCUUCCCCUUUGGCUUGGGCACUAAUAUGAAUAAAUUAGCAUUCCUUCAACCUUGUUAAACAGGGCCUAGGGAAUGGGAGUCAUCUAUAGUGCUUUUUUAGGCCCAAGAAUGGUUUUAGGCUUCCUUAUUCUCCUGACUAGUGACAAGUGACAAAAGAGGCUUUCUUAUUUUUUGUUGGUAGGGUUUACAAAUUGAGAGCAAAUAAGGACUAAUACAUGGUAAAUAGUUAACUGGAAGAUCCUACUGGGUCGUUCCACCUGGUGUGGAAGACAUCAAAGUGGCUAUCCUGAUUUAAGAUCUAGUGUCUGGCUGGGUGUGGUGGCUCACACCUGUAGUCCCAGCUACUUAGUAUGCCAAGGCCGGAGGGUUGCUUGAACCCAGGAGUUGGAGGCCAGCCUGGGCGUCAUAGGGAGACCCUGUCCCUAAAACAAAUAAAUCUUAAAAAAAAAUCUGGUGUCUGUUUUUUGCCACUUUGCCAAUCUGCUGGGGAACCUUAGGGCAAGGGUAGAUAUUAACUGCUUUCCUGUCGGUACCUUCUGGGCCUUGAUUAACAAAGUCAGUGUUGAAUGCAUAUGUAUUUGUGCUUCCCUCUUACAUUCCCGUCUGCCAGACAUAACAUAUCAUGACCAUGGUGGUGUUCUCUUCCCAUUUUUUGAAUUUUUUUUUUCGUUUUGCUGCUUGUUUUCUUGCUGUGUUCCUUUUUGACCUUUCUCCCUCCCCACAACCUGGCUUGUGCCAUCCCCGUGACUAUCACUAACAGCCGUUGCCGAGAGAUGGAUGAGCAGAUUAGACUGAUGGACCAGAACCUGAAGUGUCUGAGUGCUGCUGAAGAAAAGGUACUAACCAUUAAGCCCACAGCAAGGUUAUAUAUGUGGUGUGGUUUUGUUUUGUUUUGUUUUUGUUUUGCAGCUGCCUCCCCUCCACUUGAUUUUGUUGAGUGCUGUCUCAUCUCUUCAUGGAAUGCUCCAUUCUUUUCCACUUACUUGGCAUCUUUCAUCUCUUCUUUCCUAGUUGCUUCGCUGCCUCUCCACAGGGUCUCCUUCCUUUGGGUGAUUUGGGGGACUGUUUGGGUUGGGCAUUUGUUCCCACCUCCACCCCAGGUAGCAGUUAUGACUUGUUCCUGGUAGUGGAUUUCUCUCAAGUGCUUUAUUAGUAUUCAAACAUUUUGACCCCAGGAAGGUCUAGCUCCUGACACGUUCUAUGGUAGAGGGAGGAGGGUUGAUGCUUGCUCAGGUUACUUGGGAACAUCUCUUCCCCAGUAUGCCUUCCAACUCUCUCUACAUAUAGGUUCAAUUCACGUCUAUGUGUCUCUCUCCCUUUUUUUAUUCUCUUCCUUUUCCCUUUCCUCUCCUGUGGUAUUUAAAAUAUUCACAGUAAGUGUUCUGAGCUGGAGGAGGAGCUGAAGAAUGUCACCAACAACCUCAAGUCUCUUGAGGCUCAGGCGGAGAAGGUAGGGGCUGGUUUGUGAAAGUGACAGGCUUUGGGGCCUGGGCCCAGCCCUGCCCUUGAUGAGAGACUGGAGACACGCAUUCCAUAUAUAAUCCGUGAGGCGUGUCCUCUUCCUACCUCCUUACCAUGUAUUCAGGUUCUGGGUUUAAUGCUACUUUCUGUGCACUUUGAUUGCUUUAAUUAAAAUAACUUCAUGGUCUCAGGUUACUGGAGUCAUGUGCUGCUUAGGCUGAUACUGCUGUGCUGAAAAGCAAUAAUCAGGGGCUCUAACAGGCUUUCUAGCAGACAGAUGGGGGCAACAGACAGCAUCAGCUCUGAGACCUAAUGAGCAAUCAAGACAGAUGACUUCACUUUGCCAUCAUGUGGGUGUGUUUCAGUCAUGUGACCUUGGGGUGCCACUACUCUUGCUCAUUAAGCAGGGGAAAGGAAAAACACCUCCUUGGGUUGAUCUGAAUAAUAUCAAAGCUUAGAUCCAUCUUAAAAAGUCAUGGAGAAUUUUAACCUGAGGAUCUCAUGGCUCUAAAGACAUAGAUUUCUGGAUUUCAAGGACCUAUUGUCCAGAGCCAGGCCUUGCUCUUACUCUUGGACCAUUCAGCACAUUUAGUCCAAGAGGAUAUUCAAUGUAAGAGUUACGUGUAGGGAGAGGGGUAUUGCCCGUGUGACUAAUUUCUACUCUGAAAUUUUUGAUCUACUUACCUUACAGUACUCUCAAAAAGAAGACAAAUAUGAGGAAGAAAUCAAGAUUCUUACUGAUAAACUCAAGGAGGCAGAGACCCGUGCUGAGUUUGCUGAGAGAUCGGUAGCCAAGCUGGAAAAGACAAUUGAUGACUUGGAAGAUAAACUGAAAUGCACCAAAGAGGAGCACCUCUGUACACAAAGGAUGCUGGACCAGACCCUGCUUGACCUGAAUGAGAUGUAGAACGCCCCAGUCCCACCCUGCUGCUGCUCCUCCCUCUGACCCAGACUCCGCCUGAGGCCAGCCUGCCGGAAGCUGACCUUUAACUGAGGGCCGAUCUUUAACUGGAAGGCUGCUUUCUCCUUUCGCCACCCCCUCCUUCCCUGUGUCUUUUUCGCCAAACUGUCUCUGCCUCUUCCUGGAGAAUCCAGCUGGGCUAGAGGCUGAGCACCUUUGGAAACAACAUUUAAGGGAAUGUGAGCACAAUGCAUAAUGUCUUUAAAAAGCAUGUUGUGAUGUACACAUUUUGUAAUUACCUUUUUUGUUGUUUUGUAGCAACCAUUUGUAAAACAUUCCAAAUAAUUCCACGGCCCUGAAGCAGCAAUCGAAUCCCUUUCUCGCUUUUGGAAGGUGACUUUUCACCUUAAUGCAUAUUCCCCUCUCCAUAGAGGAGAGGAAAAGGUAUAGGCCUGCCUUACUGAGAGCCAAACAGAGCCCAGAGAGACUCCAUUAUGGGAAACCUCAUUGCUCUGUACAAAGUACUAGGUAAACCAGAAAGGUGAUUCCAGGAGGAGUUAGCCAAACAACAACAAAAACAAAAAAUGUGCUGUUCAAGUUUUCAGCUUUAAGAUAUCUUUGGAUAAUGUUAUUUCUACUUUUUAUUUUUUUUCAUUAGAAGUGACCAAAUUAAGAUGGUAAGACCUCUGAGACCAAAAUUUUGUCCCAUCUCUACCCCCUCCCAACUGCUUACAGAAUGGAUCAUGUCCCCCUUAUGUUGAGGUGACCACUUAAUUGCUUUCCUGCCUCCUUGAAAGAAACAAAGAAAGAAGAUUGUGUUUUUGCCACUGAUUUAGCCAUGUGAAACUCAUCUCAUUACCCUUUUCUGGGUUUGAAGCUGCUGUCUCUAGAAGUGCCAUCUCAUUGUGCUUUGUAUCAGUCAGUGCUGGAGAAAUCUUGAAUAGCUUAUGUACAAAACUUUUUAAAUUUUAUAUUAUUUUGAAACUUUGCUUCUUUGGGUUUGUGGCACCCUGGCCACCCCAUCUGACUGUGACAGCCUCUGCAGUCCGUGGGCUGGCAGUUUGUUGAUCUUUUAAAGUUUCUUUCCCUACCCAGUCCCCAUUUUCUGGUAAGGUUUCUAGGAGGUCUGUUAGGUGUACAUCCUGCAGCUUAUUGGCUUAAAAUGUACUCUCCUUUUAUGUGGUCUCUUUCAGGCCGAUUGGGAGAAAGAGAAAUCAAUAGUGCAACUGUUUUGAUACUGAAUAUUGACAAGUGUCUUUUUGAAAUAAAGAACCAGUCCCUCCAACCCUC